rnacentral:lncRNA from 1 species
AAAAGGUCCUCAAAUGAACAUGAAUGAUAAUGAAAGCUUAAGAUGAGGCCAUGUAAUUGUACUUGAGAAAUGAUUAUGUGAUUCAUCCAAAUAGGACCAUGAAGAGUAACCAUGCGCAAGUCCCUCAAAUCUUGUCCAAAUAGAGUGAUCUUAGAUGUUUUAGAAAGGUGACAUCAAGGAGAACAACUUAGGUGUUGAACACGUUUCCAUUUGGAGCUUGGAUCAUGAUGAAUUUUGAGGUGGAAGUUUGAGAAAUCAAACAUGAUUGAAAC